rnacentral:rRNA from 1 species
GAUGAACGCUGGCGGCGUGCCUAAUACAUGCAAGUCGAGCGAACAGAUGAGGAGCUUGCUCCUCUGACGUUAGCGGCGGACGGGUGAGUAACACGUGGAUAACCUACCUAUAAGACUGGGAUAACUUCGGGAAACCGGAGCUAAUACCGGAUAAUAUAUUGAACCGCAUGGUUCAAUAGUGAAAGACGGUUUUGCUGUCACUUAUAGAUGGAUCCGCGCCGCAUUAGCUAGUUGGUAAGGUAACGGCUUACAAAGGCAACGAUGCGUAGCCGACCUGAGAGGGGGAUCGGCCAAACGGGAAAUGGAAAACGGCCCAAACCCCCAGGGGGGGAAAGAGUGGGGAAUCUUCCGAAAUGGGCGAAAGCCUGACGGGGAAACGCCGGGUGGGUGAAGAAGGUCUUCGGAUCGUAAAACUCUGUUAUUAGGGAAAAAAAAAUGUGUAAGUAAAUAUGCACGUCUUGACGGUACCUAAACAGAAAGCCACGGCUAAAUACGU